CGGUUUUGUGCAUCAACAAUUUUCAUUCAUUUUUCAUUCGAAAGUGGUUUAUGCACACAACGUUUUUCUCAUGCGUAACUCUGUUUAUUUCUAGCAUUUAAAUUGAAUAAAUAAAAAACAAUUGAUAGACAAACUGGUGCGAAAUUAGAAAAUGGGGGUGCAUAAGUCAUUCAUAUUCUUAUUGAGUCUAACUUUUUUGUUUUCAAAAUUAAACAAUAAGUAAUUCGCAAUAUUUAUUUAUUACAUAAAUAAAUUAUUUUCAAAUUAAAUACCGAACGAUCCUUAUAUUUUUUGUUUUGUUUUUAGUGUAAAAGAAUAAAUCCAUUGUCCUGACGAACUGGACUAACAAUAAUUUCAUAUGAUUAUAUAGAAAGAAAAAUGAGUGCGAAAGUGUAGCGUUAUAUCGGAUGGUACACAAAAUUAGUAUGAAACUGUUAUUAAUUUGCUGCUGGUUUUCUACAAUCAAACUGUUUCUCUUCUCUAUCAUAUAACAUCUGAAAUUCCGAUAUAACAUCUUUGAGCCAAAUAAUUACAACCAAAAUAUUAGAGCCAAUAUUCAAAAUUAUAAAACCGAAAAAUAAAAAAUAAAAAAUGAUGACCUACACAAUCGAAACAUGGGAGCUACAAGGAGUGUUCUAUUUGCUUCACAGAUCAGUGAGUCUCUUUCUCCGUUUGCAAAGUGGGGCUUUUCGGUUCCCUUUCAUCAGAGUUGGUAUUAUCGGUUUCUUCAACAACCGGCGAUACGCCAUUUUCCACCGGAGGCACAUCGACGUUCUCAGUUACGCUCUUUUCACUUUCAUUUUCAUUUCUGUCUCCAUCACCAACAGGUUUCAGGAGUCCUCUUGAUGGAGUGGCGACUGUCAAUAGGCGGCCAAUCCCGUCAUAUAAUUCUUUGCAUCCAUUAUUAAAGUAGCUCCACCAGGGUAACAGCGGCCAAAGCAUGUUGCACAAUGUGGGAAAGUGACCUACAAAUGUAUUUGUAAGAUAUAGAGGAUGUCAAUGUCGUCUAUAGAUGCAAAAAUAUCAGACAAUAUGUAGCCCGGGUUUGUUUAUAUUAUACCUCAAUAAAUGCUCGACAAAGUGAGAGGAAAAGUCCAGACUCAUGUUCUUUCAGCAUCCGAUUUGUGUUGUACCUCAGUAAAGAAUCAGAAACAGCCUGCAACCCCUUGAUUAACUCUUGAGCAAGCACAUGCUUCAAACUUAUUGGGGCACAGGGGCGGAGGUCAUUCAUCGCUGCAGAAACACCUAAAGCCACAAGAAAGAGAUAUAUGCAUAAAUGCCUGAAGAAAAAAAAACGCAGAAAUCGGCCAUUCUCUUGAGUUUUAUGCAAUCACUGGACCUACUAACACUUUAUUUUUAAGAGAAACCAUGAAAUAUAUGUCCCACAUUACAAUUCAGUUAUGCAGUUUAUAUAAGUAAACAUGGGACCUACUUUCUUUCUUCCAAAUGUGACAUAGGAAGGGAUAGAAAGAAUCUUAUUUAGUAACCAUAUCAAUGAUAUUAGACCAUCGAUCAUUAUUUUGUUUACUAAAGUAGGCAACUAAAAACGAACAAAGCACACAAGAUGAGAAUUUCGGUGGGGAAAAGGGCAAUUCCUCAGUAAACAUAGAAGAUUUUAGCUGAGAAGCUUAAGCAACACUUACCAUUAACAAAGACAGCAAGAGGUGGAUGUUCCAUAAGAUAAGAUGGUGGGGUUACAUCAUCCUGAUUUUCAUCACCAUGACUAUUCGAUGAAAAGCCAACUACUGGUAGUGGGACCCAACGAUGUGAAUCCAAGACCACCUGGAUUUAAGCAUGAUGUCAACUAUCUGCAUUUUUAAUCAUAGAAACACUGAAUUCAAAUCAUCAAUUAUCCAUUCACCUCAAAAUUCUCAACUGCUGCGCUCAUGUUUUUUGAGAAUAAGUUGAGAACUGCCCUGGAAAAAUAACCAAGGUCAACAUUCACAAUGAAGAAAACAUAGGGUAUAUAGUAGUCAAGAUAAAAGGGGAAUAAGAUCUGUACUCUUCAAACAGUGAUGACAGCAAUCCCCGAAAAUCUAGCCCAACCCAACCAAGUCCCAUAGCACAAUACUGUCAACAAAAAAAGUAACAAGAUCAAAAUAAACGAACAGAGCUUCUAUUACUCUUAAAUUUCAAUGAUAUUUAAAGGAGUAGCAUGACCAAUUUACGACUGAAGCUUUGGUUUUUUAUCAUAUGUAAAAAGGGGACGAAUAUCAUUUUAAACGAGAAGUUCAAAUGAAUGGUGAUAUAUCUUGCAAAUCAUGGACUAUUAAAGAAGCAACUGUAUUCAGGCAUUUAUCUCCAGUUUAUAGCUUGAUGCCAGCAUGUGCAGAACGAUAAUAAAUAUAACAUUGGACGCUCACCAUGCAUUGAUCCAAGAUAUUUGAUAGAGAUCCGCCUUCAGUUAUCUUUGGAAGCAGAAUUUUAAGAGUCUUAAGGUGUGAAGUAAUUAUAUGCAUAGCCCAACUGAAAAGAAGACCACCAUCAUAAUUUUCUUCACUGCCUGAUGUAUCAUCAGCAAAUAUUGCUCUAUAUUGGUUAACAACAUCAAAAAGAUGCAUUCUAUGACAAUUUAUCAUCCCCUUCAGGUAUUCAUAAGCAUUUCUCUGGUCCAAAUCCUCCAGAAUUCCAGUAAGCCAUGCCUCCCGACAUCUCAAAAACUAAAGCACAGAAAAUUAAGGUCAGAUACAAGAAAGCCUAGAUUUCCAGAGAGAAUUACUCAAUGAAAGAUGUCAUUUGAAACGUUACUAAUUUCUUACCUGUAAACGCAUUUCAUAUUCACUAAAUACUCCUAUUCUACGUAAAUAUCCAAUAAUGCGGAGACAUUCAGGUAACUGCAAUACACAAAGAUACACCCACAAUGAAAAAAAUUAUCAAAUUCUGCAAUCAAUGUAAUAAAAAAUCAUGUUGCACUGCUUGACACGUAUGUUCAUGGCAUUACACAAUACCUGAAUAUUUGAACGAAGUUUCUGAAGAAGCUGAGAAAGAAGAGACUGAGUGGUCUGCCUGACUUCUGCAGCCAAAGCCUGAAUAACAGGCAAUCUUACAGAAGAAGGAAAACAAAAUAAGUCAAAGAACAAAGCGAGCCUCAGUGCAUCGCCUUUCACAAAAUUGAAAUUGGAACGUUACUAUCAACUGACAAGGAGAACAAGGAGGCAAGACUCACUUGGGGUGCAUGGUCGAAAGCUUGCAAACAAAUGCUUCUAAGUCAAGAGCUUCAUCGUAAUUUCCAUUCCUCACACAUCUGCGUAAGAACCGGAAUGAAUUAAGCAUACAGGACUUAUCCAAUGGCAUAAUCAGCUGCAGUAAGAAAUACAACAUUCCGAAAAAUCAUGCUUGGCUACCAUCAAACAAUCCCAUUCAGUUCAAAUUCACUACUGAUGAAACCAAUUCACUAGAAUGAGAACAACGACAUUUUUCUAUCCAAUCGCUCGAGAAACAUAAGAAAGCAUUGUUUCGGGGUUUUUUUGGUUCGCAAACUAAAUCCAAAUCAGAUUGAUGGGUAAUGUAGCAAGGAUUUAUACUACAUACAGUAGUGAUACAAUUCAAACCAAUGAUUUUAAACAAUAUUUCAAACACAUACGUAUCCAUAAGCUGAGGAAUUUCAAGUAAGUCGAGCAAUGUACUGAUUAGCUAGCAACGUCUGGUUCAAUUUCCUCUUUUCCAAAAUCUGCUCCGCGGAUUCAACAAACUCGGUGCACCCACUCAUCAACUUCGGCGUCUCCUCCAGCUACCAAAACGCAAAAUUUCAUGUCAGCAUUUCAAAAAUGCAUCAUAAAGUUCAAAUUAAUUAAUUAAUUAACCAGAAAUUAGAGUUAAUUAAUUAUUACCAGAGACGCGAGAUGUUUGUCAAUGGAGGACACUUCGUUUCGAAUUGAGACCAAUGCAUCGGAAGCGGCAAUGAACGCUCGGUAAUUGGCCACCGCCACCUCCUGCAUUUGCCGCUGUAUUCGCUCCGCAUCGACCCGAAGAAGCUCCGGUUCCUGAAAACCCGACCCGAUAAAAAGAAAUCAAUUUAAGUUCGAUUAACCAAACGAACGAACAAUGAGAGAGGGGGGAGAGAGAGAGGGAGGACCUUGUGGAGGCGAUCGAGGGUGAAGGAGAGGAGCUCGGAGACGUAAGGUUGCUGGGAGGCGGAGGCCAAGGGGAGGAGGGUAGCCACCGCGGAGGAGUCGUCGGCGGCAUUUUCGGACUCCAUCAUCGGGUGGUGGAGCUCCGAAUUGGGUGGAGGUUUUCGGAUCUCGGACCCUCCGGUUAGGGGUUUGGGAUGUGUCGGAGGGAAAUGCAGAUUUGCAGAUCUGCUGCUGCUGCUUUGGAGUUCGUUGCUCACUUUCGAUGGGGCAGUUGUCUUGUCGUUUGAUUUGCCGCGAUUCGGAUCUGGAUCCAACUAUUUUCUGGGUUUAUUGGGCCUCUAUGGGCCCAAUCUAAGAGGUAAUUCUAUUGUUUUUUCCAUUUUUUUCUUUUUAUUUUCCAGUAUUUAAAACAAAUAAAAAAUAAAAUAAAAUGCCAUUUUUCAGUUUCAUUUUAAAGUGAUACAGAGUAUGACUGAGUUUCUUUUAUUUUAUUUCUGCUUGAGAAAUUUGUAAUUGUAACGAUUACACAUUUCUAUAAUGUUAUCAAUUCACGUGUUAUAACAUAAGUGGAUUGAUAAUAACGUGACAAUAUAAAUCACUAGAAAACUUCUCUAGUUUCUGAAUAGAUUUUCAUAUCGAUUUAUACAUGAUUAUUGUAUGUUUAAAGCUAGUGCGGUAACCCAUUUUUUACCCUAAUUUUUGGUAAUUUUAUACUUGAUCAGGCGUUGGACAUGUUAUUUUUGAGUAAUUUCAGGUUGCUGGGGCUGUAUGCCCCUCUGCAAACACAAGUUCGGAUCCUCAUUUUUAUUAUUUAGAUUAUAUUAACGUAUCGCUCGAAGUAAAAACAUGUUGUUGGAUUUAUCCAAUAUAAAUCAACCUUUAAGUGGUCUACUAUAUGUAAUAGGAAUGUAAUAUUGGAGAAUAAUGUUAAUUGUGAUUUGAUCUCUUAAAGAUAUCAAUCCUAUAUAAGGUGUCUUAUAUUGGAAAUAAGAUUGAUGGAAUCCUUAAUAAUAUAUGAUUAUGAUAUUUUACUUGAGAGCCAAGAAAGGAGAGUUUUAGUUUUCCCUUAUGGACGGAAUCUAAGACUUUUUGGCUAGUAUAUAAACACCGGUCCCUGCUAACCCUAGUCACGACAACUAAGGCUUCCCAUAGAGCAUUGUCAUAAAGCUAGGAGUUUACAGAAGAGUUGGUGUUUUCUGUUUGUCACGGCAAACAUAAAGAUUGGAAUUUUAUCGAUCACGUCUUGCUUGCAUGGCUACUGCAUCUUCGAUAACUACCAUUGGAAUCAGGUCAGUCACUCCUUCGUUUGUGUUUUAAUUGUAUAACCUAAUAAGGCUAACAGUUGGUAUCAGAGCCACUGGUUAUAUAAUUAAAACCUAUUAGGUUUAAUGUUGGAUUAUAUAAUAUUAUCUUGAACUGCUUGUUAAUCCAAAUUCUCAUUGCAUAUACUCGGCAACAUCACCAUGCGAUUUGAAUAAGUUCAAUUGUUAAUUAUGAUCAGGUUGCAUAAUUAUUUAGUUUUAAUCAAGAAUAUUUUCACUAAUAUUAUGGUUGCAGUCUAGGGAAAUUUAUUAAGAACUAUGCUAAUUGAUACCUUGAUUAUUAUCAGCAAGACAAGUUGCCUGAUUAUAGCAUGAAUCCAUAAUAUUGUAUGCGGUGUAUUAUAUAUAACCACAUAGCUUUGCUUGCCAAUUGGAAAUUGAACUACGCUUAGAGGUGCUUUUGAUCAAGCAUGAAUUAAAUUAUGGAAUUGAAGCAUAAAAUUUAUAUAAUAUUCUUAUAGUAUUGAAGCAUGAAAUUUAUUCGUGACCUCAACGAGAGCAUAGUCUAUCAGCUCUCACAAACUACAAAUGAAAGGGGUUGAUUGAUUCAUGUCAAAGAAGGAAAUGGGGCAACAAUAAAACUCGGAUGUUACAUCCGCUCUCUCAACUUGUUGUAGGACGAUUGGGCCCGAGUCUUUCCCAAAGACAAAGGUAUUCAACCCUAUUGGAAUUUUGAGUGUUUUUGGGGAGUGUAUAGCAUCAUCGACCAGGGUUGUUGGGGUACUAGGGGUUAUGAUAAGGUCGACUUGUGCUUAAAUCUCGAUUUAUUCCCUGCGUCAUGGUGUAUGUUUAAUUGGUCAUGAAACAUUACACCGUGUGGAACAUUGAGUUUUGACCCUAAAAGGGCAUAAAAGUUCCUAAGCUGGAUCAUGAAUUAUGAAGACGUUAAUCCUAUAAUAAUCAUAUAGGAACGUAAAGAAGCAUAUAUGUAAGGCUUGGUAUUAUAUUAUGUAUUUUACAGUGGAAAUCAUGGCACUAAGAAUAAUAACAGUUUUGUUCUAUUUCAAUCUUCAUGCUAGUGUUUUGGUUGAAUUGAUUUACCAUGUGCCACUGAUGAUCUCAAUUUUUGUAAGCAUGCUACAUUUGUUCUGACCUUACUGAAGAGGUCCCUUCGAUUAGCAAGCAGAACGAAGUCAUCUACCAAAGCAAAAAUGGUUUUGUUUCAUUGACUUUGAUUUCCAUAAUGGUUUAUGGUAUUUUGGUUGAUAUAUAUUUGGGUUGAUCCCUGAAGGCUUAAAUUAGUAAUAAGAUAAAGAUAUAAUUGCAUGAGUGAUGUGCUAAUUAUUGUAUAGUAUGUACAUACAUUGAUUACCAUGUAUCGGUUAAGUAUGUCAUGAAUAUGGAUCCAAUUAUUAUAUAUUUUGGCAAUAUGUAUCUAAAUGGGCAUAUGCUUAUUGAAUAAGAACUAAUAUUGUUUGCCAUGAAUUGCAAUUGCAUAAGUGCCAGCAAUUGUUUGAUCAAGCUAAGUAUACGUAAUUUUCUAAAGCCAAUUAUGCAUAUAGAAGUUCGCAUUGCAUGUGUAAAAUUAUCAUGACACCAGUAUCUAAAUGGUAUGUAUAUGAUAGACAUGCGGAGAAGCAUAUGUAAAAAUGCAUAAAUUCAAUUAUUGUUUGAGACUAUAUUUUGUAAAAAUAGUUUGGGUGUUUCGGCAUUAGUACAAGAGUAAGUCUAUUGCUCUGUUUUUCAUGGGUAAUAAGCAAAAUGGACAUAUGGCGUGUUUUUUAUACAAGGAUUGGGUGGUCAUAUAUCGCUUUAAGCGUGAGAUGAUCCCAUACAAGACACAAAUAUAUGUAUAAUAUGGCAGAUAAGCAAUAGUUAUUUAGUACUUUUGUUGCUUAUGGUCAUAGUGAUAUUAACACGUAAGGAAUAUGUACAAUUUUGCUUUCAUAUCUCAGUAUAGUCAAUUGUAUAUGACUAGUUAAUUUAUGUAAUUGAUGCAUAACUUGUGAAUUGACUGAGAAUGGCAGAAAGUAUCAUGUGGCAAGAGCAAGAACAAUAUACAAAUAAAAUGAGGUUUGUAGUAAUUAUGUGACAAUUCUCAUUUGUAUUUUAUCUAUUUAUUUGAGAAUUGUGGUUGGUCAUGUGAUUAUAAAUAUGUUUAUAAAGAAGUGGUGAACAUAUGAAGGCAUAAGGUAUGUAUUUCAUUCAGAGCAUGUGACUAAAUUGAUAAGCAUAAGUCUUCAAACUUGUAUAUAGUUUAUUAGUUUUUCCCAUGCCUAAAGAAUUUAAACAGUGCUUUUAUUAGUAAAUUUUAUGUGUCAUAAGGGGAGAAGAAAAACAAGUUUUCAAGGCUAAUGUAGGGCACAUAUUGGAGAUGUUUUCUAUGGAAGAAAUAAUUUUGGUAGUUCCUUUGUUUAAUUUGGUAUUUACAAGGCUAAUGCACGAUUUUGAUGCUAAUGAUUUAGGAGCCUUGUACUACGGAAAGAAAUGUACAAAAGAAAAGGAACCCAUUUGACUUAAGAAAACAUUUGAGCAAUUUAGUUUUUAAAUUAAAGGAAUGUAUUGUUCUUUUGCAUUACAUAAAGUAUUUCUAUUUCAAGCAAUUGACUCCAUAAUGAUAAGUAUUGACAUUCUUGUGGUGGAAUAAAACUUGUUCUAUAUGUGAUUAAUCUCUUUCAAGUAUGCUGUCAGGUUUCUUGAGAUUAAUUUAAUGUCAAAGGGAGUCAUGAAGGAAUUAGUGCCAUUUGUUGGCAAGACUCGAAGCUCGAAUCAGAUUAUCAUAAUUUUGUCACUUACAGUUAAUUAAUCCAUGUGACUUCUUGUAUCGUUUCAGGGCGGAGUUGAUCAAUGCCCUUUCAACUAAGCAAGCCGCAACGGCUUUAGUUGACGAUGAGACUGUGUUUUUGAGUUACUUCGGUCAACUUUGCAUCUUAAUUAGAAUAAAAUGGAUAAUCUUCUUGCCUACAGGUGUGGAUUACUUCUUUUAGUUUAAUUAAGAUGGCAUAGUAUGGGUUUUAUUUCACAGAAGUUGUGAAAACCUUCAUCUUGCCUACAGGUGUUGAAGUUUUUCAUGAAGGAACUUUUGUGACAUAAAAUCUAGUACUAGAAACUAGUUAAUUUUCUUGCCUACAGGUGUAAAUUAAUUUAGUUUCAUGAAGUUUAUUGGGAUAAAGUUCCAUGCCAUUAGUGACAAAUAUUUCCACAAUGAGCCCCAUAAAAGGUUGUGGUUUGAAGGCAUGGAAAUCGGUUGCAUCAUGAUGUAUUUUGUAUCUCUUUAUGAGACUUGUUGAUGCAAAGUAUUGGACCCAUGAAGGUUAAUCAAUGAUUGCUAAGGUACGCAUUGUUUAAGUCUUUAUGCUUGAAAAUCUUUCAAUUUGAACUAUGAUGUCGGUUUAGAGGAUGAAAUUUGACUACUAAAGUUUCUUUUGGACAUCGAAAUUGAAAUGAUAUGAAAUUGAAUUUGUUAUGGAUAUAUAAAUUCAUGAUAGAUGCACAUAAUUGUUUCUGGCAGAUUGCAUGUCUUGAUUUAAAUCGGGUGAAUGACACGUCUAAUGAUCACCAAAUGACCUGAAUUUUGGAUAUGUUCAACAUAUAAAUGUCUACUAUGUGUCUGAAAAUUUUCGUAAUUUUCUGCCAUGUAUUUUAAUUAUGGUGAAUUUAUUAGUAACCCAUGCUCGUAUAGACAGUUUUUACUGGCAGAUUGUGAUGUUUUUGAGACGUGACUUUAGACUACUAUUUUGAUCCAAAACGGCUUUAUAUUUUUAUUUUAUGAAGAUUAGUAUGUCUAUUUUGAUCAGUAUAAAUUUGGUAGCAAUCAAGCUUGUAAAUUAAUUUUGAUAAAUUCUAAAGUAAGUGUAACUCAUUGCUGAAAUUCUUUUUGACAACUUUAUGUUGGUUGAGAUGUCUAUUUUAUUAUGUCUAAAAUAUAGAGCAAUUUUCUUUAGGAACAUCCUUGAAAGAAUAUAUUAACGAGUGUUUGCCCAAGUGGGAGAAUUAGUGAACGAAAAUUGGGCUUCACACUCAUUAACUUAUUUGCAAGUAUAACUCUGAAAACUUAGUGGGAGUUUUUGAGCAUUAAGCGGAUUUGCAUGAAUUUAUUAAAGCAUUAUUCUAUCUUCCAUGUAUUUGUGUUACUCGAAUAAUAAUAAUAUGUUUAAGUUGCACAAAUGGCUACUUAGUAUAUGCGUACAUUUUUCUGUUACUUGCAAUCAUUUGGAUUUUUUUUGGUUGAUCAUUCGUUUUGAGGCUCAUAAGGACUUAGCAUAAAUGUGGACUUAUUAAUACAUAUAAGAUGGUUGUUGGAUGCAUGUUUUUGUGUAACAGUGAUGAAUGCUUUCAUGCUUAAUUGUACCUUUCAUUGAGGUAAUAUGCAUUCAUUGACUAAGUAAGGCUAUUCCCAAAGGCAUAUUUUCAAAAAUAUGAUUAAAGUAUUGAUUUGCAAAUUAAGUAACGAUGUUGCAGAUCAGUGGGAGUUUGAGUUUCAUGUUAGUAAGGCCUUACAUUUGCAGAUGACCUAUAAAGUAUGUAUAGAAUCCAUGUAUUCAUAUUAAUCUCCAGUUGGAUUCAUUAAGUCACAUUUUUCGUGUGCUAGUCAAUCAUCUGAUGAAAUAUAUAUCAGAUUUCAAGUUGUUAUCAAACUGCAUAUUAAAUGUCAUGGCAUGGUUUGUGCACUACCUCAGUUGUGAGGAUUUCCAUCUUGCCCGCAGGUGUUGGAAAUCACUAUGAAAGUAACUGGUAUGGUGCAUAGAUUAGUGUCAAAACAUAUUAAUUCAUCUUGCUCACAAGUGUUGAAUUAAUUUGUUUUAUGAAGUUUUUGGGAUAUUUUACUUGGACAUGUGCCUAUUUGGUAUUUUCAGUUGUGUCUGUUGGCUACAAACAUCGUUUGUAUUAUUAUUGAUCUAAUGAAAGUGAUGCAUGAUUGUUUUGGAGAUGUAUUCACACCUGCAGGUUAUGGUGGUUUCAUUAGAUGAAGGAUAUCUGCAUUGGCAGAUUUAAGGCUUCGAAGAAGCAUAAAGUGUAACUUGUGAGUUACAAUAAGGUGGACCUGAGAUGAUAUAAAGUAAGACAUUUUGAUUAAUUUAUAGUUUAAUUUUAAAGUUUCAUCUCUUGAUCAUAAUUUGUGUUUCAUGUGAAUGAGGAUCUUAGCAUGUGUGAUUAUGAAGGUUCUGGGUUGUGUCAACUCUACAACCUUGUUAGUUCCAUGUUAAGAAAUGCAUUUGACAGAAGCUGCAUUAAGGACGAGAUGUAAUCACUGUUACAUGGCCACUAAAGUGACAUUAGUCUCCAAUCUCAAGUAUAAACAUGAAUAUUACAUUUUGUAGACCAAGUGGGAGAAUGUUGGAUUAUCCAAUAUAAAUCAACCUUUAAGUGGUCUACUAUAUGUAAUAGGAAUGUAAUAUUGGAGAAUAAUGUUAAUUGUGAUUUGAUCUCUUAAAGAUAUCAAUCCUAUAUAAGGUGUCUUAUAUUGGAAAUAAGAUUGAUGGAAUCCUUAAUAAUAUAUGAUUAUGAUAUUUUACUUGAGAGCCAAGAAAGGAGAGUUUUAGUUUUCCCUUAUGGACGGAAUCUAAGACUUUUUGGCUAGUAUAUAAACACCGGUCCCUGCUAACCCUAGUCACGACAACUAAGGCUUCCCAUAGAGCAUUGUCAUAAAGCUAGGAGUUUACAGAAGAGUUGGUGUUUUCUGUUUGUCACGGCAAACAUAAAGAUUGGAAUUUUAUCGAUCACGUCUUGCUUGCAUGGCUACUGCAUCUUCGAUAACUACCAUUGGAAUCAGGUCAGUCACUCCUUCGUUUGUGUUUUAAUUGUAUAACCUAAUAAGGCUAACACAUGUUACAAAUCACAUAUUAAUUCUCGUCGAAAGUAAUACAUAAAAAGAUCAAGUAACAAACAAAAUCAAAUACAAGUAGGAGUAGGAUUGUGUAUAUACAUCACCCAAGAUUUGGUCUAUGCCUCUAUACUUUUCACCAAAAAGAAAACACAACCUGAACUAACAAGAUGAACAAAAAAAAGACAUGAACAGAAGAAGGAGAAGAAGCCUCGGAGGCGUAAAAGUAGUAGUAAGGAUGUGAACUGUUAUUCGCCACUCCUGCUCCUGUUGUUGCUGUUGUUGGCACUGGACCAGCAGGAGGCAUGCCGUAGAAGUACAUAAACCGAGGAGGAGGAGGAGCGCCUUGCGAAGGAUAUGAUGGGGGGCAUUGUUUUGGCGGUGAGGGAGGUGGCAAAGGUGAUUGUUUUGGUGGCGAGGGAGGUGGAGAAAUGUAGUAAUAUUGAGGUGGAGAGUGGUAUGCUAGUGGCGGUGAUUGUAGAGGUGAUGGCGGUGGACCUGAAGGCUCGAGUUGAGGAGGAGGAGGUGGUGAACAUAUGACUGGACAUGUAGUGCAGUCACUGAUACAUAUUAAACCAGUCUCAGGAUCCACCGUUUGAUCUCCAUAUGUGAACCUGGAAAACAUGAUCAUCCCGAAAAUCGCGGCCAUCAAGGACCGGGGAAUCCAUUUCCCUACCAUGAAUCUCAAAGCUCUGGAGUUAGCCAUCUGACAGAAGCAUAACCUUGAAAACUGACCAAGUUGUGAGGUAGCCUUCAGAAAAUUUUGUUCUUCUUAUCUGCCUUUUUAUACAAAAGUACGUAUGGCUCCUCCCACAAGUUUUGAUUUAGAUGCUUCAGGAAAUACGCACAAACAAAAUGGGUCACAAAACAGACAAUAAAGGGGCAUUAAAUUGUGACUUACAUACGGUCUGAACAUUGUCUAUUUAGUGUACCUGAGUUUUUUUUUUUUAUUAGGAGUUUGUAACCGAUUUUAUUUCCGCUUUUCUUUGUAAUAUUCUUUCAAUUUCAUGCGAGAAGGAAUCCUUAGAAAAGUUUCAAUGACAAUCUAAUCCUCCACCUCUGGUUUCUACUUUUUUUUUUCUGAUGCCUUUCUGCAAGCAUAAUCCACCUUUGUGUGGAACAAUUACCCCCUUACAGUAGUGGUGCACUUUAUGCUCCUUCUUUUAGUUAUACCUUUCUUUGUAAGAUGGAUCCACAACCCUUUCACUAACUUUUUGCACUUCUAAUUCAGCUAAUGCAACUCGCAGACUUGCGCAUAGCCAAGUUGGUUGAAGCAAUAUGUUUUCACGGCCCAUUUGCGCCCAACUUUGGAUCCCACGCCCCAUAGUUUAGAUUAGAUUAGAUUAGAUUAGAUUAGAUUAGAUUAGAUUAUUGUUCGAGUAAAUAAAAUUUACUGACUUCUUUUAGGCUGGAAUUUUCACUUGAGUAUAAAGUCUUGCAGGUUUCCUUUUGAGUCACCACACUUUAAAUCUUCUCAAACUUCAACUGCAGAGGGAAGUGAUCAUCUUAUAGUAUGAACAGGCAGAACAUGAACACAAAGAACAAAUAACAAAGAUUUUCUAAUCACAAACCCACCAAAGAUUAGCUUAAACCAAUCAGUGAAAGAAGCCUAAGAAUAUCAACCUUUUCUUUUUCCUUAUAUCAGUUUCCUAUUAUCUACAAACACUUCAGUUUCUUCAAUUGUAACUAGCUUUCCGGCCUUUCGUUCCUUGCGUCAUCGAGUGGUUUUGAAUUCUCUUCAUCUUCUUUGUACUUCUGCACUAUGUUUCAACUCCACCCACGGAGCUACUCUUAUCCAGUGGCUCCUGGUUAUUCAACAAUGUAGCAUAAUUUAGGUGCUAGCAGAUAAAAACUAAAAUAGAAAAGAGGACCGCGAAUUGUUAAUACUUAAUAGCACUCCAAAAUAGUUAUUCUGCACUCGUGUUUUUCUCUCUUAUUUUCUUCAAUUAGAAAUGAGUGCAGGAUUACUAUUUUGAAGUGUCAAUAGCCGCGUCCAAACAAGUCUGUCAGUUAAUGUUACAAACCUGACUACUUGUAGGUGACGUUCUUGAUGUGGAAGGACGCGGCGCAGAGCUUCGAGUUGGACUAUAAUUGAACCCAGGAGGAGUAAUGUCGCCAGUCCUUCCAAAGUCUCUUAACCGGUUCAGUUCCGGCACAACAACCGUGCCAAGAUCAGGCCUGUCCUUCUUCCUUAGCUCUGUGCAUUGUAAUGCCAAGUUAGCGAACGCUAGAGCCUCUUCGAUUGGCCAGUCGGUCACUGCUGGAUCAAGCAUCUCUGAAAAUGUUCCCUUCUCGAUGGACCUCCUGACAUGAUGAGCAACUCCCAUGGCAGGCUUGGCUGUGAUGAUUUGGAGUAGUACUAUCCCCAACGAGUAUAUAUCUGAUUUUGUUGUUAACAUGCCAGUUUGUUGGUACUCAGGAUCGAUGUAACAAAAUGUUCCCGCGGCUGCAGUCAUGUGGUAUUGUGUCACCUCGUCUGCUACAGAUGGUGGAACUAAGCGUGCUAGCCCGACAUCGCUGAUCUUGCUCACAAAGUUCCGGUCUAAUAAGAUGUUUGCUGGCUUUAGGUCACGGUGUACAAGGGGUUCCGGCUUUGCUUGGUGAAGGAAAUGAAGCGUUAUUGAAAUCUCAGAAGCUAUUUUGAACCGUCUCCUCCACGAUAUUGGGGGCGUGUUACCUCUUCUAAAUAACCGGUCUUCUAAGCUGCCGUAUUCCAUGUAUUCGUAUACUAGGCAUCCGUAUUCGGGGCAAGCACCAAGGAGGAGAACCAUGUUAGGAUAUCUCAGGCAGCUCAGGACCUCAACCUGCAUGUCAACACAAAUUAUGUCUCUGAUAACCAUCUUGUUUUUCUGAUAGUAUAACGUUUAUGUAAUGUUCCAAAUCUCAAAACUGUAUCAAUAACAUACCUCCUGUUGGAAUUGCUUCCUCCCUUGAGCAGCAUCAGGUCUCAGAACCUUGAUGGCAACAGGCGUGUGAUCGAGUUUUCCUUUGUACACAGGUCCAUAUCCACCCUCACCAAUUUUAUUCGCUUCUGCAAAUUUUUCCGUGGCUUCUUCAAUUUCUUCUAUGGUGUACUUCCUAUACCGGACAUCAUUUUGUGCCAAAGCAUUCAACGCCCGGAUCUUCUCUUCUGCCUCUUUCUUUGCCUUCAUCUCUGCCUGUCUUCUUCUCUGAGCUUCCAUCUCCGCCAACUUCUGCGCCGCCUCAGCUGCUUCUAUAGCUGCUUUGCACUUAGCCUUCUCCAUUUCCACAAUAGCAAGGGCUGUCUCUUCAGCAACCCUCACUUCAUCGAACUUUCGCGCCUCCUCUUGCUUCCACUGACUAAGCUCUUUAGCCUUAUUUUUUGCCAAGAUUGCUUCUUUGCACGCCGAGCUGUACAUGUCCAUUGUUUGCUUCAAUUCGAGCUUUAAUCUUCUCAUUUCAGCCUCCAAAUCCCGCUGUGAUCGAUCAAACAGUUAACAGCCAGAUUAUUCUUUUAUCUAGGCCUUGAUUAUAAAUUUUACACUACCAAAUUACUGAUCAACUUUUCCUACAAGCAACCAUUUAAUACAACUUACUGCAGAUUGUCUGGAUGACUCCUUGGGAGAAUUUAAUGCACUAGAGAAAUCGAAGCAUUGGUUUGUAAUAUCCAUUGACCCAAAUAACGGCAUUGACAAGUCACGUUCAUCAGCAUUCGAAGUGCGGCAGCUAAGCGAAGGCCGUGCUGAAGUAUGGUUAGCCAUGUCGAGAUUAAUAUCCAACGAGAGAUUGUUUGGAGCACUCCUUGUCCUCUCGCGCGCCGCAGGCAUUUUCUCUGAUCCUGGAGCUUUCCACCCUCCCCUUGAUGCAGGCUGUCCUCUGCUUCCACCAAACAGCAUUGCAAAAGUCACGACUUUUUAGCAUAAGAGAAAUUCUCUGUACAUGACGUUUUGUCUUACUGGAAGACAUGACACGUUGAAGAAACCUCAACCGUGUAAUUAGAAGAGAUCAGAGUCGAAGAAAACUGAGAAGAAGUGAGAUUUUCUCAACACGUCAUCCUGAAGAGAAAUAAUUAAAGUACGUACCUAGCUCCGUUUUCAAAUUCAUUAUGAUCUGCUGGGAUAUAAGGUGGGAGUCCCAGAGAGGAUGGCUGUUUUGGUGGAGCUGCAGUAUUAAGCGCAGGCCUCUUUGCAGGUCUUGUUGACAACAUCUUCCCUUUCUGAAUGACGUAUACCGAACAGAAUUCCGGUGCAAGUUUUACAAGGCUGCUGGACACAUCAUUCCCACUUUUGAACUUCCUGUGAAAAACCACAGCAUCAGAAUGUAGCGUAGAGAGAGAGAGAGAGAGAGAGAGAGAGAGAGAGAGAGAGAGAGAGAGUGAGAGGUUUAAACCUUGUAAGAGCAUUCCUUGUUGAUGCACCAACUACAAUACUAUUGAGGUAGUUGCAGUUGAUAUAUUCCAAAAGUGCUUUUGCAACAUCACCUUCAUCAAGGAUAACCUCUUUCACUUGUGCCUAAAAUUAAAAAACAAAUCAAAACCUAUUAAACCCUGUACGAGAUAUUAUGCGUAACACAUUGUAGACUACAUCUCUGACAGAAAUGAUGUAGGUACGUACCCCUUUACGAGCGCAAUAUGCACGGUAAGGAAUGAAAACGCUAUGUCCAUUAUUAUCACCCUCACCAUCACUCUCUGCAUAACUCGGAAAAGAAACAAAGAAAUCACGUUGACAAGGCCAAACAAUGUGUUUUGAAAACGAAGCAGAGAAAAUAGAGGGUACCUACGAUGGUUUUUGUGCUUGACAUGGAUGAGGAUGAUGUACGGAGUGGCGCUGGCGAUUACAAGAUGAUCGAUAGCCCACCGGACGGCAUAGUUGCUGUUCUUGUUGUCCUUGUCGACGGCCACGGCGGUUGCAUUGAUGGGUGGAACAGCGUCGUCUGAGGAGUAAUGGGAGGCCAUUUUGCGAGACGCCACUAGCGCAGCACUAGCACAGACACGCACCAAUGCCGCUGUCAAUGGCACCACCCUCCACGUCCAAAGGUCAGGGGAAGCUUGAGACGCAAGAAAAGGGGAAAAGGGAAAGAAGAAAGGAAGAAGGUUGGGUGAUUAGGGUUUUCUGUUGGUGUGGUUGUGGAACUGUAGCAUGACAUGUUUGGCUAAACAUAGAAAAUGUGACAUAACUAACUUUUGAUUGACUUUCAACCGUUGCUUGAUUUAGGCAAUUUUUGAGCUGGCCAUGACCAAAACCAAAGAAAACAAAAGGACUUUUGUUCACUUAAUUCGGUUUGGAUUUUUCUUGAAGCUUUUUGGGCUAGUCAACAAACAAUGAGAGAAAUGGGACUUUGAGAGGAACGAAAAUAUUGUUUGUUCAACAAAAUUUGUUUAAGGAUUGGUAGAGAGCAAGUCUUUGCACAACGAAAAUGUUGUUCUUUUGUGACUGAAAGGCCACAAGUUCAAGUUAUGAAAACAACCUCUUUAUAAAGUAAAGGUAAGAUUGCAUACGAUAGACGUUUCUUUCAUCUCUAGCAAAGCGGGAAGCCUUGUUGGCUUGGAGUCGUCUUUUAUUGGUAGUUGUUUGAUAUCCAUAUUGUAGAGAGGUUACGAAUUACAAGUAUUUGGCUUAAAUGGUGGCUAUGAAGAUACAAACUGUGUUUACAAUUUGUGACACAAAUGGCUUAAGAAAACAAUGAAUGGUAGUAUUCAAUUCAAGUUAACCUCUAUAUUUUUUACUUUAUAAGAGAAUAACGACCAAUUUUUAGUUUAGUGGGACCAUUUUUUUAAUAUUGAAAGAGACCUUAAAUUCGAAUUUCUUCUGAUAUUGAUUAAACAAAAAGAUUCUAUUCAAAUUUGGGAUGCGCUAAUAUUCAUUUAUAAGACAUUUUAUAAUAACCAGACCAACCCAACAAGUAUUAGUCUUUGUUACUACGUGCACUUAAAAUAUUAUGAUUCUCUGCUAUUUUGCUUAUUCAUAUUUCUCAAAACUCUCUUGAAUCGGUACAGUACAAGAAAAAUUUAUGGGAGAGUGUGUUUUGCAACGUGACAGUGUUACGAAUAGAACAUGAAUGUGUUUUCGAAGAAUAUUUUGGACUUUGAAGAACUUUUAACACGUUAUAUUUUUCAAGUUCUUUUGAUUACUUUACCACAUGACAUGAUUAGUCGCAUAUAAAUCUUUCUCCCAAGCUAACAAGAGUCUAAAACAAAUUUAUUUGGGGUGAGAAUUGAAUUUGUCCAAAAUUUUGGGAAGUUCUCAAUAAUUUAAUUCAUGACAUAUUAAUUUCCUAAUUACACAUUAACACGUGAAUCAGUAAUAAAGUAGCAUUCAUUAUUUUUUCCAAAAAUAAAAACCUUACAAGAGAUUUAAAUGUGUACAAAAUACGUUACACCACAUAUUAUUGUACAAUGGAAGAUACACCUAAAAAAAAAAUCCUAUAAUUUAGAUAAUCACUGAAAAAUUCUCUUCCAAGGCUACCACAUCACCUUGCCCGCGGAUUCGCGGGAGCCCAAAUAGGGAAAACAUUAGGAAACGACGUCGUCUCAAGCUGGUGAGUAGAAAUUUAAAAACCCUUCUUCGCCAAUUAACCAACCAGAAUUACUGAGAUAGCAACGACAUUCCCAAAUCCCCAGCGGACUCAAAUCUCCUGCAACGCCUCAAUCCGUGAGCAAUGUCGUCGAUAUACGUUUUAGAGCCGCCGACGAAGGGCAACGUGGUGCUGCAAACAACGCACGGACCACUCGACGUGGAGCUCUGGCCCAAAGAGGCUCCGAAGGCCGUCAGGAACUUCGUGCAGCUCUGCCUUGAAGGCUACUACGACAACACCAUCUUCCACCGCAUUAUCAAAGGCUUCCUGGUUCAGGGCGGCGACCCCACCGGCUCCGGCACAGGUAAUUUCAAAAAAAAAGAUUGAGAAUUUCUGUUCGUGAAUUUGUAUAGUUAUCUGGGUUACUUCAGUUUGGGAUUUUGAAUUUGAAUUGGGUAUUGCGAAAAAUAUGGAGAAUUCCGGCUCAGGCAUUUGUAUAGUGAUUUGGGUUACUACAGUUUCGGAGAAAAGAUUGAGAAUUUUGGUUCAGGAAUUUGUAUAGUGAUCUGGGUUACUUCGGAUAUAAGAUUUUGAGCUUGAAUUUUUGGGGUUUUUUUUUUUUUUUUUUUUUUUUUUGCAGGGGGUGAGAGUAUUUAUGGAAGUGUUUUUCCUGAUGAGUUUCAUUCGCGUUUGAGAUUCAAGCAUAUGGGUUCAGUCGCUUGUGCAAAUGCCGGUACACCCAAUUCGAAUGGGAGCCAGUUUUUCAUGAACUUGGAUCGGAGUGAUUGGCUUGACAAGAAGCAUACCAUCUUCGGAAAGGUGAUGAUUAACUUCAAUGCCGGCACCGGCAGUUUAGCUUUAUGAGUAUCAGUAGAAAACCAAGGAACCGAACUCACUCAGUACUUUGUUUUUUGUUUUUCAGGUAACUGGGGAUUCAAUAUAUAAUCUUGUGAGGUUGGGUGAACUAGAAACUGACAAGGAGGAUCGGCCGUUGGACCCGCCCCCAAGGAUACUAUCAGUAGAGGUAGCUAAACAUGGUCUUUGAGUAAACCUUAAGCUUUCCACUUUCUAUAUGGUUCUGUAGUUUUGUGCACUGGGUACGACCUUUUUUAUCUUUUUUAUGUCCGUGUUUUAGGUAUUAUAGAAUCCCUUUGAUGACAUUUUUCCAAGAGUACGUGCAAAGCAUUCGACGGAAUCCAAAAAUAAUACUGGCAACAAAGAUAUAAAGAAGAAAGCUGUAAAGUAAGCUUCUUCCUCGCCGGAAGAAACGCGUGCAUAUGCACAUGUGUGAAUGUUAAUUUGUUUUUGCGUACAGCGCACCUGUCUGUGAAAGGAAAUGUAUUAUGCCAUGAUAUAUGUCGUCAAAAUUGUCACUACGCUUAUUCAGUAUCUUAUGUGCAUGGUUUGUUUAAAAAAUACAGAAAGCUGAACUUGCUUUCGUUUGGAGAAGAAGCUGAAGAAGAGGAGAAAGAAUUGGCAGCUGUAAAGACAAAAAUCAAGAGCAGUCACGAUGUAAUGGAUGAUCCUCGCCUUCUGAAGGACGAAGUUCCAAUUAACGAAUCGGUAAUUAUCUGCCAUCUCUUGUUGUGAUGCCUUGUUUAUAUAAAACUGUUGAAAUUUUGCUAAUUCAGGUCCAUAUGUUGUUAUGAGCAUUUUGAGUGUGAUUAGCAGUCUACGUGUGCACAUUCCGUCUCUCUCACUUAAUCGGCAAUUUUUAAUCAAAGGACUUAUCUUUGACAAAUGUUUUUGUAUGCAGAACUUUGAUUCCAAAACAAAGCAUGUACAGUUAUCUGUCUCUAAAGCUCCAAGAAAGAAGAGCCCAGGUUAGACAGUUUUGAUGCAUCUAUAUUUGUAUAUACCUCAAACAAGUCCAAAGUUCUAAACGAGGCAGUUCUAGGAAAAUCAAAUGCCUAAGUUUCUUGUUAAGCUAGGUCAAGUUUGUUUCUCUCACAUCUGUUUUCCUACGUGCGGGUUGUCAUUAUGGUGGGUUUUUGUAUAGAUAACGUAAUGUCGCGUGUUUAGCUUUGCCAUGUGGAAGUUGAUUAUUGGUUUGAAAUACCGCUAAAGUGGUAGUUUUUUUUAAAUCAAUAAGGCAAUUUCACGUGUUUAACUUUGCCAUGUGGCAGUUGGUUAUUGGUUUGAAAAACCGCUACAGUGGUGGGUUUUUAAAUCAGUACGCAAUGUCAUGUGUUUAGCUUUGCCAUGCGGCAGUUGGUUAUUAGUUUGAAAAACCGCCACAGUAGUGGUUUUUUAAAAUUAGUAACACAAUGUCACGUGUUUAUCUUUAGCUAUGUGGCAGUUGGUUAUUGGUUUGAAAGACCGUCACAUUGGUUAACGCAAUGUCACGUGUUUAUCUUAGCUAUGUGGCAGUUGGUUAUUGGUUUGAAAGACCACCACAUUGAUCCUAGUCACUAUUCUAAAAAUCCCUGCCUAGCACUGCCUAGGUACUAGGCAGUUGGCCACCACCAUCCCGAUUAAUGCCUAGACGUUUGAAAAUUAAGAAAGGGUGCCUAGAGCUGCUAGGGUGCCCGCCUAGACUGCCUAGACUGCCUAGGCACCUGCCUAGCUUGUCUAGACCCGCCUAGGUUGCAACUCACUUAAACAGAAAAUAGAUAAUUUUCAUUUUGCAUUUUAUUUUUUUAAUAAAUUGUAAGAGAUUUGUUGAAUGCUUAAAUGAAUACACAUUAUAUGCAUGUUCCCCAUGUUUUAAUUAUGUUCUAAUACUUUCUAAUAUAUAUGUCAUUCUAUUUUGUAAUUUAGAAUAAAAUUAUAUAUAUUUUAAGUAUAAAUAAACACUUAUUUACAUGAAAUAGAUUUACUUAAAUCCGCCUAAUCCGCCUAAGCCCCACCUAAUCGCCUAGGCGCUAGGUCCCAACUCGCCGCCGGACUAGCGCCUAGCGUCUUUCAGGGGCGGAGGCACUCUAAGGCCACCAUAGGCCAAGGCCUACCCUCAUUAAGGAUCCCCCAACUAACCUUUCUAAAUAAUUAUGUAUUAUAUUUGGAUAAACUUAAUAUUAUACUUCUUUUAGUUUACACAAAACUCUUAAUUGCUAUUCACUAAUAGUUAAAAUAAGAAGUCUCUUUUUCUUUUCAAUCCCAACAACACUCGUCCUAAAAAUAAAUUUACAAUCUUAUUUUAUAAACAAAUCAAUAGCUUUUAAAAUUAAAAUCUAAAGUCUAGUUUAGUUUUAUCAAAAAAAAAUAUUCUUUUACAUUGCCAACUGAAGAAUAAUAAACUUUGAGUUUCUCCUUCUCCGCUUCUUGAAAUUUUAUAUAUUUUAUCUUUGCUCUCUUUAACUUUUUACUAAAUUUUUAAAAUUUCAUAUAUUUUGUUCACCAAAUUCCCAAUCCAUAAUUCUCAUUUUUUGUUCAGAAAUUCCCAAUCUAUUCUAUAUUGACUUGGAGUGAUGCUAUAGAUAGCUUCUACUUGAGCCAUAUUUUGUGACCACAUGAUUGUAUAGUACUUAAUGGUUGGACUACUUUAAAUCACCAAAGAAGGAAUCCAAUCAUCAACGGGGUCACAUUAUGUGGUUUCUAAAAUAUGGUCUAAAACAUAGUAUCCCUAGCAUUUUUCAUUGACUUGAGAAUGGAAGGUUAACUUCGACAUAGAAAAAACAUUUAGAGCCUAAAAAAUAAUUAGCUCACAACUCCAAGCAUGUAUUAUUUAAUUUUUUUCACAUUUAUGUGAGACCCCUCCUCACCUAAAAUCCUGGCUCCGCCACUGGUGUCUUUUAGAAUUACAAUCCUAGUAAGUCAUUUUCAACUUUUCAGGCCUUACCUUUUCAAAGGCUCUAGACGUAUAUGUAGGAUAUUCAAACCUAUGAGACUUGCCUUGGGCAGCAAGAAUCCAAGAAAUAGCGGUGGUGUUUGACCAGGUCAAUAUUGUAAGACCCAGCAACUUACAAGGGCCAAGACUUGUUCAUUGCAUAUACAACAAAAUAAUUGUUUUUUAUAAUAUUUUGUGAGCCGAAAUAAUGAUUUUGGUAAAGUUCCAUUUCGAUGCCCAAAGUUUUAAUUAGGGGUGUGCUAUCCACACAUCUCAUUUUACUUCUCACACACCCCUUGAUAAUUUUUGUCCGUUGAUCUUCUUCAAUUCAUCCGAUCCGACGGCCGAAAAUUAAAAAAGUGUGUGAGAAGUAAAAUGGAAUGUGUGGAUAUCACACCCCUUUAAUUAUCGCAAUUGAAGUCUUUGUAGCUUACUCAUUAUUGUAAUCGAAGGACAAUAUUUUAAGGGGUGAAGUACAAAGAAUUAACCUAAAAAUUAGGUGAUUUCAAAUUACUCCAAACUUUUUAAAAUAUUUUAAAUAAUUACUUAAUUGUCUAAAAACCUAACAUCUGGUAGGUUACGGAACCUGACCAACAUUAAAUAAUGAGAUGGACAAAUAUUAAAGUUGGUUUCAUUAAUCAAUGUUUUUGGAGUUCUAAUCCUCCCAAAUGACCCAUUUUAGUCAAGUUAAACCAUAAUUUUGCUUUGAUAAAUCCAUCAAUUUGAAGAUUCAAAUCUAUGUCGAUGCUUGAGAGUUAAAACACACUUUGUAUUUAUCCAUGUCAUCACAUGCUAGUGAACCUAAUAGAUGUCAAUUUUUUAAAACUUUAGGUUGUAUUUCAAAUGUUUAAAAGGUUAUGAUCAAUAUGUUUUAAAAGGUUAUGUCCAUUUUUGUCAAUAUAUAUGUUCAAGAACGUUACCCGCAUCUUUUCAAUAUAUAGUUUGUAUAAGAUGCUAAGAAGAAUCUAAAAAAUCGGACUCUGUAGACUCUUUGUUAUCUCAUAUUUUUUACACAAUAUUUUAUAAUAUUGGUAUGGAAAUUGAUUUUAUAUUAAAAUGUGACAAAAAGUCGAUGAAGAGUCUUAUUUUAAGAGAAUCUCCUUAACAUUUCUCUUUGUAUAAAAGUUGUCAAGCCAUUGUCCAUAAACCGAGGCAAAUAUUAAACUAUAAAGACUAAUUAAGAUGGAGGCAGAUUAUCUUCCCUCUCACUUCUCGUGUCCUCCUGUUUUGUAUGGUCACAGUUAAGUCAUAUAAAUAAUUUAUUUUUUAUUUUUAUAGAGAUAAUAAGACAAAAAUGAAUAGUAAUAUAAAAUGUUGACAUAGCUUAACCGUGACUACACAAACAGGAGGGCACGGAAAGUGGGAGGGCAGAGUCCAAUUAAGAUAGUUAAAACUGCAGAGAUCAAAAUGAAACUUCGCUGAAACUGCAAAGACGAAGAUGAUUACUUUGAACAAGGAAAUAAAAUAUGUUUUUUUUUUUUUUUUGAAAACAGAAAUAAAAUAUGUUUAGCCAAUGUUAACCGGCGUAAUUACCAAUCCAACUUUGGAUGUUGACUGUGCACAAGAAUCUUAGCACCAAUUAAAAAAACCUAAUUUUUAAUUUUUAAUUUUCUUCCUGGGUGGAUGCUUUGGUCAUUGCGAUGAUUAAUGUCCAUCGUUGAAUUUUUGCUAGCUGGUGGGGUCCACCGUAUCCAACCGUAUAUAUCUUUGUCUACAAUGUUUCAAAAAAUAAGUCUUAAAUAAAUAAAAAACUAACAAAAAAGAUUUCAAAAUUUCGAGUUUUAACAACAAAAUUAUGUUAUAAUUUUAUUUAAUGAUAAGGAUAAGAGAAAGAAAAAAACAAAAAACAACAAAAACCUAACUAAAGGCACAUGCAAAGAACACCCAACAAAUCCUUCAGUUGAAUAACCCUUUGACAUAAUCCAAACAUAUUUUAUUCCUCUAAAAUUAAAAUUUCAAAUUGAAGUAAGUUCCGUUCAAUUCAGAACCACAUUCGGGGCGGUAUGGUUGGGAGGGAGUUGGUCAGGUAUGGGCGUUGACGUUAAUCUUUAUUAUGUUUUUUUUUAUUUAUUUUUAUUUAUUUUUUAUCUUUUAGCCACACAUGACUUUAACGGUGUGGAUGUUGAUCAUUGUCAUGUAUUUGUUUUAUCUUUUUAUUGCAUUCUGGUGAAAGAACUUGAAAAUCUGGGACAAGCAUCUACCGUUAAGUUUCAUAAAUACUGUAGUAAAUUUCAUAAACAGUGUAGUACCAUUAAGUUUCAUAGUAUAGUCAGUUUCAUAAACAGUUUGUGUGAGUAGCACGCAGAUCUGCGCAUCAAAUUUUUUUAAAUAUUAAAAUUAUGUCUUUUUCAUUAAAAUUUAAGUUUUUUUUGUCUUUUUUAUUUAACUUUAAGAGUUUUUCAUUAAAAUUUAAGUUUUUUUCCAUUAAAUAAAGUUAUAGCAUGAUUUUUUUUAUUAAAAUAAACUUAGUCUAUCAAAAGGAGUAUAGAAGAGUUUGAAAAGCUUACACCGUUUUUUCUAAUCUUUGGACAAGCAACAACUCUAGUCCAAACCAAUGUUCAUAUUAUGUUGUAUUAAAGCUUAGUUUUUCUUGGAAAUCAUACUCAUAAUAUUAGUAUGAAAAUUGACACUAAACUGUUAAGUAGCAGAGAGCUUAUAAAAAGUUAUAUUUUGAGAGAGUCAUCUUAGCAUUUUUCUCGUGAAAAAUGUAACAAUGAUAGGACAUCAGGAUAUGAGAUAAGCAUUAUUUUAAAUAUUUAUUAAAUGUAACGUUUUACGUUCAUAGUUUGAUCUUUUCUCAACUUUCAAUCGUUAAUGCAAAUGAAUUCCGCAAUUAUCCAUGCAAACCUAAAUAACACAACUCGUAAUGUUUUUGGGCACGUAAGUGGUCAUCCUUUGCGAGUUAGCAUGACUCUUCUAAAGAUAUAAGUAAUUUGGAGAAAUUUUUUUAUUUGGAUGCCUGACCACGUAGCUAAUCAGAUCAAUCUCACAAAAAUAUAAAAUCUUUUUAAAAUCAAAUCGCAUUUAAAUCACACACGUCUUAAUCAUUUACUGCCCUAAUCAAUUGGUUAUACCCUUUCUCCAAAGCUUGAAAAUGGCGUUGGCCCACGAAAUCUAUGGUCCCAAUUUCUCAUGCCCAACAUUUUUCCAAAAAUUGAUGAAAAUUGUCAAAAGGCAUGAGGUGGGGUUGGUGUUCUUUUGUUCCAACAAAGUAACAUUCCAAUCACUCACUCACACACCCUUAAACCCCAGAAAUUAAAUAUAAAAUAUAAAAAAGGUGGGCAAUCCCAAAGUCACCGUCAUAGCCGACCCACCACCGCCACCAUCCCUAAACCCGCGUUCACACCUGCCAGUGCCACCUUUGUACCCGCGUUUUUUAUCCACGUUUCACACGAAGUAGGAUUAUCUUCUUUUUUUUCUUUUUUUUUUAUUUGAAUGAUUUCAAUUAAAUCAUGUUAACAUUUUACAUAAAUUUUUUUGUAGUAUAUUGAUAUUUUUAUACUAUAGAAAUGAAAAAUUCGGUUAAGCUACAUAAUAUACAAAUUAAUUUAGUAUCGAAUCGUCAUCUAUAAGAUUCGAACGUAAGAUCUCUUAUUUUUAAGUGAGGAAUACCAUCAAACUGUAAUACUAGCUGUCAAUUAAAGACUACUACUUUAGUUAAGUUGGUUUCUUUGUAUGAGUGAUGGGUUUACUUUUGUAAUAUACGUUGAUACAUUUAUUGCAACGAUAUCCACACAUAGUCUACUUUUUAACACAAAAAAACCAUCUUUUCCACCGAAACAUUAAUGAGACAAAUGAAGGUAUAUAAUUUAAUUCUUUAAAUCUUGUCAAUUCAUUUUACGUCGCAUUAAAUACAACAUGAGUUCGUAAAUCUUCUGCAUGUAAAAAAAGAGCCAGGUAUUUGUGCCAACUAAACAUUUACUUAAAUUCAUAAUUAUUAUCAGUUGUCACGGUAGCGAAAAUUAAUAAUAUUUAUGCACAUUGAUGCAGAUUCGAUUAACAGCCUCGUUGAUAUGAGUGUUGGACUUACAUGCUUAUGCUGAUGUGAAGUGUGAACGGCAAGUGACAUAUAAGUCCAUAUUUAUACAAUAUUACAAAACUUCUUCCUUCCGCCCCACACUUUCUCAGUUUGUCAAUCUCCGCGUUCACACUUGCAUUUUUCAUAUUUUCAAAAAGCCACUUGGUUCUUCUUCUUCCUCCUCAAUUUCCUUCUUGUUGUUGUUGUUUCUGCAAAUCUGUACCUUAUAUGAAACUCGAGCUCCAGACAGACCCAGCAGCACACCCAGCAGCUGAAGGCCUCUCCACCAUCUACACCUUCCUCCAGAACUCUCUCCACGCGCAAAUGAAUGAGAACGGAAACGGAAACGCCAGGAAACGGCGUCGUAAAGACUCCGGCGGCGGCGAGAAGAAGAAGAAGGAGCUGAAGGGCGUAGUCGCCUCCUUGUCGUUGCUAGAAGAGGAGGAGAAGCAGGACGAGCGGGAGCACGACAGGGCAUCGAAUGACGACGCGUCGUUUAUCCAAGAGAAGCACACGGAGAGAACCAAGGCCAUGCUCGAUUGCUACUCCAAUUUCCAGGAGUGCUCCUCGGAGGUGGAAGAAUCCGAAACGAUGAAGCGGAGAAAAUCGAGAAGCGCCGCCGUUUCGGCGGCCGUGGUGACGGCGGCUGUGUCGACGGAAGCCGAUGGAGCUGAUAAAGGUAAGCCGGGAGUCGGGUCGGGUCAACAUCGGCGGCUGUGGGUCAAGGACAGGUCGAAAGCGUGGUGGGACGAGUGCAACCAGCCGGAUUUUCCGGAAUCGGAAUUCAAAAAGGCGUUUCGGAUGGGGAAAUCCACGUUCGAUUUGAUAUGCGAGGAGCUUAACUCCGCCAUCGCGAAGGAGGACACGACGCUGCGGUCGGCGAUUCCGGUGCGGCAGAGAGUGGCGGUGUGCCUGUGGCGUCUGGCCACCGGCGACGCGCUCCGCCUCGUGUCGAAACGAUUCGGCCUCGGCAUCUCGACCUGCCACAAGCUCGUUCUCGAGGUCUGCUCCGCGAUUCGGACGGUUCUGAUGCCAAAGUAUCUGCAGUGGCCGGAGGAGGGCGAGGCGAGGAAAAUUAAAGAUGAGUUCGAGGGUAUUUCGGGAAUUCCAAACGUUGCUGGGUCUAUGUACACCACGCAUAUACCCAUCAUCGCACCCAAAAUCAGCGUGGCUGCGUACUUCAAUAAACGGCACACCGAGAGGAACCAGAAGACUUCUUACUCGAUCACCGUGCAGGGUGUGGUGGACCCCAAAGGCGUUUUUACCGACGUGUGCAUCGGAUGGCCAGGAUCAAUGCCGGAUGAUCAGGUGCUGGAGAAAUCGGCGUUGAAUCAGAGGGCUAACAAUGGUCUGCUGAAGAACGUGUGGAUUGUUGGGGGUGCUGGGUACCCUCUGAUGGACUGGGUGCUGGUGCCGUAUACCCAGCAGAACCUAACGUGGACCCAGCACGCUUUCAACGAGAAGAUUGGGGAGAUUCAGAAUGUCGCCAGAGACGCGUUUGCUAGGUUGAAGGGGAGGUGGCUUUGCUUGCAGAAGAGGACGGAAGUGAAGCUGCAGGACUUGCCGGUGGUUCUCGGGGCGUGCUGUGUUUUGCACAACAUUUGUGAGUUGAGGAAUGAGGAGAUGGAUCCCGAGCUCCGGUUCGAGCUCAUCGACGACGAGAUGGUCCCGGAGGUCGCUCUGAGGUCGACGAGCUCGAUGAAGGCCAGGGAUGCCAUUGCUCAUAAUUUAUUGCACCACGGCCUCGCGGGUACAAGUUUUCUUUAGGUAACUUUUCUCAGCUCGUUACAUGCACAAAUCACAGCCUGACACGUACUCGUUACAUGUACAAGUCAUUAACAAAUCACAAUCUGACACGUACAUGUAAAGAGGCGGGUAUUUUUCUUUCCCCCCUUAUUUGUAAUUUGUGUGGAGGGGCUCUUUGUAAAAGAUAUACAUCAAGAUCACAGAAAACACGUUGUUCACAGAAAACACGUUGUUGUAACAUGAGAUUUCACUCCAAUUGCCAAUUAAGAGACUAAUGAAGUUGCAUGGCAAAUUAUUUAUUAAUUAUUUUGGAUGUUUUUUUUCCCUAUUUUUCUGGAACAAAAUCCUCUCCGGAUCAUUUCCAUCUGGUUCCUUCGGACCAAAUCAUUUCCAUCUGGUUCCUUCGGACCAAAUAACCUCAGUCGUGCACGUAAAAUUGUGCGGCUAAGAUCACUCUUGCUCUUUUAACUCUCUCACUCUCUCUUUCUCCUCAACGUUCUUGCCUUCUUCUCGAUCGACGAACCAGAACCGCAAACAGAAAGAAGAAGAAAAUCGGAGGGUUUGAAGGUCGGGGAAACAUGCAGUUUGAAUUGGGGUGGGAGGUGGAGGGGGGGGAGGUGAGUGAUGGGAGAGAGAUCCGCGGGAUCCGGAUGAAAGCGGAUCCGAAGAACAUCUGUUCCCUUCUUUUCUAUCCAACAGGAUCCUCUUCGGAUCUUUUUGAUGAGGAUUUUGAGAAUAUAUAAAUCGUGUUCGUUCAUUGUACAUCGUUUAUUCAAUUUUUGUCAAGUAAUGUAUUUAAUUUUAAAUAAAAAUAUUUAAAAUAAUUUUUGAUCACACGAUAUAUAAAACGGAUAAGAUUGACGGAUCUUCAAAUCCUUACUAUCCUUACUAAGAGAAUACAGAAAUGCACCAUGACCUCCAUUUCGUGGCUCGAGAAAGGGCAUAAUCCGUUCAGUGCUUGGAUGAUCUCUCUCGCGUAGAUUGUCUGAGUACGUUAUUCAGACAACACCUUUCACACCAUAGGACACUUUAUACUUUAAGUACUACCCAACCUCCCGACCUCGCAUUGAUCUUGUCGUGUGAAUAUUGCCUUUAAUAAGAUAUUCUUACCAAAGUUUAUCUCGUGUCUCAUACAUGGGAGAAUCUUGGGUGCCUACAAGAUAUUCCGUCGCAACUUUGAUUGUAUGCAAGAUUCUCUCCUGCUUCGCACCAAAUUUGUAAUGGUCUAAUUAGUUUAUGCAUUCAGCUUGUAGUAGUCUAUUUAGUUUAAGAAUCUUUAAUAUCAAGUCGUUAUCAUAAAGUCCAGCCAACAGUUCCCCAAAGUAGGAGGCAUAUUCCAUGCUUAACACUUACGUUUGAAACAGUUUAUGUCCCAAUGACUUCACUGAAAACGUCACAAUAUACAAAUAGUAAGUUGAGACCUACCGUAAACAUCACGAAACAGGCUCCAGCAAGCCGCAUCUUCCGGCAUUCCUGUGUCGUCGUCGUAAACUUGCGCUGGAGCUGCUUGUGCACAUUACUCGUUUCUGUAACAUCCACGCACCGAGACAACUCAGACAGAUUUCGUAUCCGCCAUUUUUUGUCACCGUGGGAUUCGAAUUCUAUGUUCAUUGCCGUCAUCUGGUAGACUGAAUGGAAAAUGUGCAAAAUGGAUCUUCAAUGCAGGGGACUCGGGUUUCUUGUUAUCAAACUUGUAACCUGCACGCAUCCAUGUUGCAGACGUUGAUAAGCGAUGAGUUUACUCAAAUUACUAGAUUCAAUGAAGCUUUAUCAAUUAACUAUUUAUGUCAAAUGGGAUUCUAAACCGUAAAAAGUUAUUUUUUCCCGAAGAAAAAAAAUUGGUUAAGAGUAUUACACCGAUUGCCAUAUGGUAUAUUUGAUAACUGGAACAUGGAUUUCACAUAUAUGGCAGACAUGGAUAGAUCAGAGUUAAUUGCUCAUAUAAUACCUUGAAGAGCUUCCCUAGCAGUCAGAGCACACUUCGGAUCAGCAAACUCCACAAAGCACAGAACCAUAGCCUUAUCGCCACUCUGCAGUUCAUGUAAAGGUCUAGUAAACAUAGAGACGAGCUCAAACAAAAGAAAAGUACGAGGACGUUAAUAGAAAUAGAAACCAAUAACUAUGUGCCCCUCAAGGAAAAAAAUGGUUGCUAGAUCACACGUAGCCUGUCUGCUAUGCUAAACUAAAGGGUAAAACACCAAUUACAGUAUAAGUUACCGCAUAAUCUUAGCGAAACUAUAAUGAAGUCUGUGAAGAUUAAGAAGUAGGAAGAUAAGAAGACUUACACGUCUAGGCUCCUUGUGAACGACUCUGAUAUCUUUAAAGCCAACAAAUGGACGAAAUAUAUCUUCGUUGCAAGUCAAGGUUUUUAAAUGACAGAACAAAGCAAUAGAAUAAGCAUAUUUCAGCCACAAUCAUAUCCAUUUCCAUAAACUCUGAAUCCAGGGUUAGGAACUUAGGAGUAAAAGGAUACGGCUUACUUCUCUUCGGGUACAGUCUGUGGGAAGUCCAUCGACAAACAAAACGUUUGAUUCCCCUUUCACAGGAAGACCAUCGGCAUUUCUCGAAGAGCCAGUUGGCCUUUCUAAACUUAUGUCAGCAGGAACAUUUGGACUAAUGCUUACCGCAGCAACAUCCUGUCUCUGGCUUAUCAAACUCGGAACUUCUAAAAGUGAUGAAUAACCGUUUGUGCUGGCUCCUGCUGUUACACCAAGAACUGACUCAUGACGAAACCGAAGACCUCCGGCAUCAUCUACAGCAUAUACCCCAGUACCAGUAGUCAUUGAUCUUAUCUGCAAGCAGAUCAAAUACCACAAUCCCUUCACAAUAAUUCAUAUACAUUAACAAAAUGAACAUUAUCAUAUACUUAGGGCUUGUCUGGGACUGUUUCCGGAAGGGCUAAAAUCGCUUUCUAACAACCAAAACCGCUUCUGAAUGCCUUUGGCAGAUUAAACUUAAAAUCAUUUAUGGGUCAUUAAGCACUUCUACUGAAAGUUCAUUUCCAAUAAGCACUUGGAUUUUGAUAAAAUUUCGACCUGUUUCCAAUAAAAGAACUUAUAGGCUUCUAGCAAAAGUGCUUAUGAACACAAGUGAUACCUACCGAAGCAGUCACAAACAGGCCCUUAUAGUAACUACGUUAGUGUCGAACAAAUUCUUAGUUCUUACAUCUCCCUGCAGAAAAUCGGAAGCAUAACUCCGCUGCGUAUCGGUAGAGGGAAUCGUAGGAUUGAAUAGCAGUGAGGGUGUUUCCGACGACAAGUAGCCGGGAAAGCUUGGCCUUGCAACACUGUCUGUCACAAUACAAUAUAAUCCACCCAUCAAUCAUUCAUCAAUUUCUCUAAUCUUGUAUUAAACAGAAAAACAAUCUAAUUAAGUAAGACACAAACUUUCCAAUCAAACCAUGCAUUAGAAAGCAUUGAAUUGAUGAAGUAAUGAAUAGCUUUUUUGGAUGCUGAGAAAAUGCGAGAAAGUGUGCAGGAAAAUUGAGAAUUUGGGGGUUGUGGAAUUAGGUUUAGGUCAAAACAGAGAACCUCUUUCGGGCGAGGUGAAGUAUAUACGGUAGGGAUCGCCCAUGUCUUCUUCCACCGCCUGUUUCAGCUGAUGAGAUCCACAACCUCCGGUUCUUCAGCAGUGAAAGCACCCUUUGGGUUUGGUUUGUACCACUCGCAGACUUGCAGUACCGAAUUGGCGCAUUCAAGGUCGAAACGCCGUAGUUUUGGAUUUGGAUCGAAUAACUUAGGGAUUUGACUAUAAUAUUGUGGCAGUAUGUUGGAAAAAGUGUGUGAACCUAUAAAGAUUGAGUAAUGUUAAAUAGAUUAAAUUUGUAGAAAAAAUUUUGGAAAUCAAGAGAGAUGGAAGUUGAUGAUUGAUUUAUUACUUGAACGUUGAUAAACGUGUUUAUUCCUAACACAGUUUGCAAAUUUAGUCUCUCUUGUAUUAUCCAUAAAAAUUACGCUUUUAUAAUGAAAAAUUCAAAUCUGAUGGUAAUAUAUUGAACUCAUAAUAUUAAACUCAUGCGUUCAAUAUAUUGAACUCAUAAUAUUAAACUCAUGCAUUCAAUAUAUUAAGGGAACUUUAACGAAAAGCACCGGUACUGUUCACUUUAACGAAAAACCAUAUUUUUACACUAAAAAGUCAAUCCUGGUAGUAUUCACUUUACCCUUUAUUUUGUCCUUAUCAUUAAAACUUAAAGUUUUCGAGCCCUUUUCAUUAGUUUUCUUAUAUAUUAAACUAUUGAGUGAUAUUUAUAAUUAAAUUUGUAUAAAAAAGUAUGACUCUAACUUUCACCAAUGUAGCCAUUUAGUAUUAUAGUAUUACGUUCAAAUCUCGUGGAUGGUGAAUUCAAUACCAAAUUAGGUUGUCAAUUGUGUGGUUUAACCGAACUUCUCAUCUCCAUAGUGUAAAAUAUAUCUUGUACAAAAAAAAAAAAUUCACCAAUGUAAUAUAGUGUUAUAGGCUCAAUUUACCAUAGAAGAUCUUAUCUCUACUAAUUAAUGAAACCUUCUUGGCAACCAAAAGAUGGUGAAAAGAAAACUUAAUCUUCUAUCACACAAAAAAAAAUGAUAGGUAAUAACGUAAUUUCACAUGUUCAAAUUUUACUAUUUUUUAUUGAAGUCUCACAUACGGAUGAUAUUAAACUACCUCUAAUAUUUAAAAAAACAAAACAAAACAAAAAAAAACCAAAAACAAAAACCUCCAUUCCCCCCUUCCCCCCCCAACAUUCUCUCUCUUUCUCUUCCUCUCUCCUUCUCAUUUUCUAAAAAUAUAUAUAAACAAAUGCUAGUAUAUAUUUAAUAUAAUUAUCAUUUCGACGGUGAAUUUUAACAUUAGACUCUGUAUUCAUGGAAAUUAGGAUUUACAUGUUUCUAAAUUAUUACCAUGAAAUAAGUUUGAGUUUCACUUCCAUAUUCCGUAGCGUUAGGUUAAACUUGGUGGUUCACAGAAAAUGAUAGGAGGUAGCCUGUAAAAAUUAGGUCCCACAACCUCUCCACUUGUCAGAAAAAAUAGGAAAAAGUCUUGGUCUGUCGAAAAAAUAGGAAAAUGGAUUUAAAUCCUUGAGGACCACACCCACAUUAAACCUAUCUCCCACUACAGACCAACACGGCAACACCCCCGCCACCAAAUCUCUCCGCGUCACGGCGGCUCCCGAGAUAGAGGUAAUGCAAGGAGGAGGAAUCCGGUCAGGCUCCAUGGAAGUCGAUUGGUUCUGAUUCUCUUGCUUCUGGAGCUUCUGGAGGGUUCUGGCUCGAGUUCGAACGCCGAGAGAGGAUGGCGGCGAAUUGGAAACCCCACUACACCUAACUCGCCGGCAAUUUCGAUUUCUCCGUCUCUCCGCCCCGUAGGAAUUUGGAUAGAGAGGAGAGAGAGGGACUGGAACGGUGACGAAAGAGAAGCAGGGCGAGGUGAGAGAGAGAGAGAUGAAAGGUGGGCUAGCUUCUAUUUUUUCCGACAGGUGGACGCAAGUGGGCCACCACUUUUACUUCUUGUCCACAGGUUGACCGGUUUCAUUAUUUUCAAUCUUCAAACUUAUUAACAACCGUCAGAUUUACAUAUUUUUCAUCUUGACCGUCCGUACUUCGUACCUCGAAAAGCUACGGAACAUGGAAAAAAUUUCCAUGACGUUUGACCAAAUUUUACCAAAAAAGACAAAAAAAGGUUAAAAAGCAGUUGAUUCUCUGAUUGUAGACCUGUCCGCAGGAGAUCGUAUCCUACGGUAAUUACAAUACGAGGUCCAGGGUGUUUCAGCAGGAGCCACUACGUCACUGACCUGGGCAGUCAACAUAUCCACAUCCCACUAAAUGCGAGUGCACACCACGCCCCAAUCAGCCAACUAGUUGGGCCGUCACUGCAUUUCGUCAGAAUUUUUUUAUAGGAAAACUAAUGAAAAGGGCUUGAAAACUUUGAGUUUUAAUGAUAAGGACAAAAUAAAGGGUAAAGUGAAUAGUACCAGGAUUGACUUUUUAGUGUAAAAAUGUGGUUUUUCGUUAAAGUGAACAGUACCGGAUGCUUUUUGUUGAAGUUCCCUUUUUUUUUUGUUUCCAAAAUGAUGACAAAGAUAAUAUGUCAUAUUUCUAAAUUAUAAUAAAAUUAUAAAUGCCAUCAGAAAGGAUUUGUGUUUUCCUUUUUCCUACAUAAUUUGUUCAUGUUGAUUAUCGGUGUGUGGCCUCAAUUAUGGAUGUAUGCUUGUUUAUGAGCCUAAUCAGCAGUGCAAGCUCCUCUGCGUGCUAAGACGUGAGUAUACGCUAUAUUGGGGGGCCCAGGUGGAAGUGUACACUGCCAGAACGUUCAGUUAAUGAGUGGUCAAGGGGCUGUUUGCAUGGACGCUGUUGGAGAGGUUCAUCGUUUGCCCUUGUCCUGCUUUGGGACACCUCAUCUGGGACAUGCUACAUCUCGAUACGUUGCAAGAGCUGAUUCACUAAGGUCGUCUGCUGCAUAAGGGCACUCGUUAAUUAUACGACUUGUUGGGUGAAGUGUUGUUCGCCAUGUGGGAUGGAAGAGCUUUGACGUUAUACGUCUCCUUGAAUGGUGGAAUUGUAAUGGAAUUCAGGCGCGAGAUUAAAACUGGGAUAUGUCAAAUUUGUGAAAAAAGAGGGUGAAAAAUACCCCCGAUUCAAUCAUCUAUUCAAAAAUAUAAAGCCGGGACAAUUAAACUGGUCUUGGGCCGAUUUGGGUAGCUAGGUGGGCCACAAGAGUAGGCGGACCACGGGCACGGGCUGCAUCUCAGGUGCGGAUGGGGCCGCAUGGGCGCGUGGGUCUUGGGCCCUUAUUCAUCUUGGCGCGGUUUAGGCUUGCGUGACGUUCAGGGCCUGCAAGGUCUUAGGCUAGUUGUGCUGCAGCAGCUUGUUAAGGCGCUGCCCUGUGGGCUUGCCGCUUUGUAGUUACUCGAUGAGCUGCUACUCCUUGGGCUGCAACUGUUGUUGCUUCAUAGCCUAGCUGAAGGAAUUAUUUUGAAAAACAUGUUCAUUUGAGCAACAUCAUAUAGCAUGCAAUUAACAAUUAAAGGCGGAAUCAUGCUUGUAUGCACCCAAAAACAAAACAUUACCAUGAAAUUCAAAGCCUAGUAGAUUGGUGAACCAAUAAUCAACUCAAAACAAAGUGAGUUGAAAUUUUUUUACCUUUGUGGAUUCCUCUUUGCAUAAGCAAAGGCUAAUCACCCAAAGAGAUAGGGCCUUCAUUCCUUGCUUCUUAGAUCCAUGGAUUUGGAUGGAAAAAUAGGUUCUCCAAGUUCCCAAAAUUGAGAACCUCUAAGUCUCUUCACCAAGGUUAGAUUGUAGAAGAAAUGAGUGACCUUGGAGUUGUUAGGAUUGCUAGAUGUACCCUCCAAGGUGUUGGCUUCUUUAGAGAGAAAUGGAGAGACUAUUCUCACCAAUUUUCCCCAAAAUAAAAACCCUUAAUCACAUAAUGAAUAUUUGGCUAUAAAGUCAUUUAUAUAGUCCCUUCAAAUAAGUGACCUAAAGAACCAAAACCCUAAUUCAUCUAACAUGGCCGGCCUACCUAGGGAUUUUUUGGGCUUUUGGGCCUUUGUGAAUCUUUAUUCAUUAAGUUGUCAUACAACUUAAGUCAAUGGGCUUGACUUUCGAAGCCCAUUGGGCCUUAAGGUCCAAAACUAUCCCGAGGUCUUUAACGAACUUAUUCGUUUGAUUAAUUAACAUAUUAAUUAAUCCUUGCCAUAAUUUAAAUGAUUAAACCAUUUAAUCAUUCUUACUCAUCUCCGUUUAAUCUUCAAUCUCCACCUUUUAUGGUGUGCGAUCCAUUAGGUUCCUUUUAGCGAGGUAGUGGGCGAUUAAAACCAUUUUACAUCGAUUGUGAAUUGAAACUAUUUUCAAUUCUCCCUUUAGUGAUUACACACGUUUAGGGCUUCCACAAACCAUGGUUGACGCCUAGCAGCAUGUCAUGGUUACCCAAGCUAAUCAGAAGAGGUUAGAGAACCUAUUCAGUUCGGGAUUACAAAUGCAAUACGGUCUUUCUCUAAUCUAAUACUCUUGACCACAUUGUUUGGUUUGAUAGUUUAUUUGUUCAUGUCUACUAUCCAAUGUGAAUCUUGUGCUUAUAUGAUUUACUUGAAUGUGAUUUGGAACGCAUUCCCUAAUCUCAUUCACACUCUGGCCAGAGAUUCUAAAUCAUAUCAUAGAGUAUUCUCCCUCAACUGUUUGAAGGUUAGAGAUCCCUUGUUGCGCAUUCACUUGUCUCCAUAGCUAAGUCACUUGACCCCAACGAUGCCGUGGACACCCCGAGGGGUGACUUUGACAUAAUCAAAGAUCAAGGACUUAACCACAAGACAACUGUGAUGCCUCAGGUCAAAGGACUACUUUGCAUUAUCCCAACCAUGAGUUCUUAUGUGACAUGGAAUAUGAGAACUCUUCGUUGAUCACGUUCAGUGUACUCAUUCUCUAUUGAGCACCUACGUACUUGUCUUGAUGUCACACACACCAAUGACUCGAGACUAAUCACUCUCCCUGAGAGAAGACAUAGUACGUACCGAUCUUAACGGACUGUCAAUGCCCAAUUGACAAUCCUAUGAUCAGGAACAUUUAGGAUGUGUCUACGAAAGAAUGGUCUCAUGAAUCUAACUUCAUUAGAUUACAUUCUCCCAAUCACAUAUUCCUUGGACUUUAUCGUUUAAGCAUAUAACAUUUAUAUGAGACGACUCAAACAAUAAUAUUUGCCCUUUAUAUGUAAAACUAGAUUAGUUUAACAUGUGAAAUGUCCGUAAAGCAUCAUCACAUGAUUGGCUUUAGGGCACAUUUCCAACACUAGCUGCCAUGGAGAUGUCCCACUUUCCACUGCCACGACAGUUGUUGUGGCUGCCAUGGUGGUGGUGCUCCGCGGUGGCAAGGUUACUCCUCUUAUCGUGGUGAGUCUCGUGGAUUGUCGUGGUAGGGCUACAUCGUAAUUUUCAUCAUUUGAUCUGAACGUAGGAAUUUACGUUCGUCGUGCUUUUCGAAUUUCCUUCCAUUAUAUUUUUCUCCUACAUUUAUUCAAAGAAUUAAAAAAAUUCUAGGAAUAAGAACGUAUGAAAAAUUUACGUAUGAAAGAGAAAAGAUAAACUUUGAAUGCGAAAGUCUUAUUCAAGCGUGUGAAUCAAACUCUCAAUGAAAGCAUCAAUUUGUGGAUGCAAAUUUCCACUGUUUUCUCAUUUGACAAAAAUGCACCUGCAAAAUAAUAGUACCUAAUAUUAUGGCUAAAAGCCUCACACACCACGAAGAAUAGAGGGCUUUAGGCGAAUAAUCUCCAAUACCAAAGUUAGAAUUCUGUAAAUAAUGUGCUUAGGAGUUUAUGGGUAGCAAAUGACUUAGCAUUUUAGUGGGAUAAGAUGGGUAUUUAUAGGAGAAUGGUCAACCCUUAGGGUGAGGAGUGGCCGACCUUUUAUGGUGUUGUUGACCCUAAAAACUAUCAAGCCUAUGUGGCGCGCAUGCCAAUUAACUAAUGAGUUAAUUACGUCAUUCGGUUGUAUGCGGGCGUGCCAACGCGUCAGCCGAGCUCGCCCGAAGAGUAAAAUAUGUUGAUGUUACGUUGGGUGCGCUACUGACUUCUGAAUCUCGUGACUGGGGCCGAGGAAUGAACACAUCUCGGCCUUCAGGUUCUAGAGCAUGAAGACAAGGUUGUUAGUUCUGCGAAGUUCAAUAUCAAAUUUGGCUUUCGAUGUGCCGAAUGUAGUAACUUGUAACACUUCACUUCGUCGAAAAAGCUAAUGAGAUGACCUCUGCCAAUAAGGAUUCAAAAAUCCUUCUCGACCGAGACUUGGAUAGAUAACCAGUCAGUUUCGACACAGUGCUGUUUAUCCAAACUGAAGGUAUUUUGCGGUCGGUUGAUUCUACAGCAACAGUAUUGUUUAUCCAAACUGAAGAUGUUCGCCAAUUGCCUUCGUAGUGUUGUUUAUCCAAACUGAAGAUGAGUCGGCGAAAAAGGGAAAUAAAAAUCUAAAGGUUGUUGAGAGGUUUCGUGUAGAACGAGGGUUUGCGCAAAGUAGUUUGUGUGUUGAGUUGGAGGUCUCCUUUGUGUUGCACGGUUUCUCGUAUUUAUAGGGAUGAGUACACGGUUGAUAAGUUUUGAAGCUCCACCAUGCUACUAAAAUUCUUCCAUCGUUCAAGCUUUCGGUCAAAUCCUAAUCGCUUUGUAUAAUUCGCAUGCAUCUUGUGCCUAUGCAAAGCCAAACAGUAUUUAAUGAUGAGACCACGAGUUUAAUGAGACGUAUUUCUAUCUCAAAUGGACUCUGGGGUGAUAUUUGCUUGACUGAUGGUGUUCAACUGCGACUUAAACUCAGUUUAUACCAUAUUUAAGGCCUCGUAUUUAGAUCUCGUAUAAAUACCCAGGGGGACUUAAAUGUAAUUAUGUGAUAAAUGAAUGGGUAAAUAUGUAAUAAGUGAGGAGUCCUUAUUCUAUAAAAGGACCCCUCACCUUCACAAUUGAUGGAGGCCAAUUCCUAAGGCUCCUCACCCCCUUCAAGCUCUCACUCUCAGAGCUCUCUCUCUCCCUCAGAAAUAUAAUCAGUGUGGACGUAGCCCAAAUCUUGAGGUGAACCACAAUACACCUUGUGUUAUUUACAUUACUUGCAGAUUCACGGUCAGAUUUACGUUGUUCCAAGACAUCCGGUUUUGUGCAUCAACAAACUCUAUGAGGAAAACUGAUCCGUUUGUCAUCUAUGACUUUUCAAACAAACUGAAAAGCCUAUCUAGGAAUCACAUCAUCACCAAAAGCCUAGCUUUCCUAGAUUUCAUGUCUCAUCCAUCACCCAAAACCAUCAUCUUUAUUGUUGCAUUAACCCACACAUGCAUCCAUCCAUCCUUGCAUGCAUCAUUGCCGUGCGUAUCCCAAUAUCCCAAAUGGUCAAAUCAAUGGGGAUUUAGACAAAUAUUAGGUUAAAUAAUUUAAUAUAUUACCAAGAGAUAAUAUCAUGAUUAAAAUCACAAUAUUAUUUCUCAAUAAUAAUCGAAAAUUAUUUCAACCUCUUUGUCAUUCAAUGGUCUAAAAUUCUGCUCAUUAAACGACAUCGAUUACUCGGGCCGAUAGUGUAAUUUUGGGUCCAAACAGGUGUAUUUGGGCGAAUAAUUGCAAGAUAUUAUGUGAAAUAAUAUCUUGCAAUUAACAUGACAAUUAUUCAUAAUUUAAAUAUGAAGUUUUGGGAGUUACGUUUUGAAUAAAAUCAAUAAAGGAUUGAUAAGGAGUGAUGAGAGGACUUUGAAUAAAUUCCAUAUUGAUUACAUUUGACUCUUUCUUGAUUGAGCUGUUAUUGUCUGCUGCAUGCACGUGGGGAUUCCGGUGUGCCUCGAGGGUAAUAUCUUCCUUCUUGUCCAAAAAUUCACUGUCACCUCCACAAUUUUUGAGAUUAUUUUUGGCUCCACAUAGAUGGUUCAGACCAUUGAAAUACAAUACAAAGUGGCAUUCACAAAAAUGUGUGUCAGAAUUUGUGUAAACAAAUGGUAGCUUUGAUCGGCCCCACGUACUAAUCUUAUAUUUAUUUGAAUAAAAAUAUAAAUAACAAUAAAUUUAGAUCCUAUCCGGAGGAUCCUUACAUCUUAUUUGUUCAUCGUACAUCGUGUGAUCAUAAAUUAUUAUAAAUUUUUUUAUUUAAAAUUAAACACAAACAGUACCUAACAAAAACUAAUCUCAUAAUAUACAAUGAACAAAUAAACGUUAGGAUCCUCACAAAGAAAAUCCGUAAACAAUCCUCUCCUAAGAACAAUAAUCCGUAAUAACGAAAAUAAGUUGCUUGCCUUGGGUAUUAAAAUCGUUAAAGCGUCAUUAAAAUGACGACUACACUGCCCCUCACCACAACGUGGAGCGUGUCACACUCCCACUCUCAAGCGCGUGACUCCGCCACUCAUCCUGCAGCAGCAAUCUGAAAAAUAUUUAUAAAGAAAUCGUCGAGCUCCGCUCCACUGCCUCGAAACUCCGUGGGCUCACAACCACCAGUCAAUCGUGAUCCGACACGUCAUCCCGAGUAGGAGCCAAAGUCUGACCAGUACACGUGGCGUGCGAAUAGCAGUUGAGGAGUAAAAACGAGAGAGGUAAAUAUUUUGGGAGGUUCUCUUUCAUCAUCUACUCGUCGUCGCAAUAAAAACGAAGCUCCCAGAGGAGUGAGAGAGAGAGAGAGAGAGAGAGUCUGUAGAGAGAGAAAAUACUGGACGGUACCGUGAGAGUGAAGAGAGAGAAAGAAUGGAGGAUCUGGAGGAGCAGGAGGAGGAGGAGGUGCUGGGUUCGAGCUUGACGAUGGAGAAGGUGGCGGCGGCCAAGCAGUUCAUAGAGAACCACUACAGAGCUCAGAUGAAGAACAUUCAGGAGCGGAAAGAGAGGUAAUCUGCAAUCUGCAGCUUCAAUUGCUUCUGGGUUUUCAUACUUAAGCUUUGUUUGGAUUGCUGAAUAAUGUAGUUUGGGGAAGUAAUUCGAGCUCUGAAUCGUGAAACUGUUCGGUGUUUGAAUUGGGUGUUGGCAUUUCAUGAAUUGGUUUCGAUUUCUGCUGUUUGGUUGCUGAGAAAAUGUGGGAAUAGCGAAAUGUGUAUUGGUAUCGUGGUUUUGUUAGUUGCAAAUGUGAUUCUGUAAUGUUUUGGGUUGAGGAAGUGUGGGGGUGAGUAAAGAAAUCAGAUUUUUUUUUAAAGAUGGAAGCAAGUAGUCAUGGGGCAAAUGAGGGUCUAAUAGGGUAGUUAUUCCGUUGGGAUAAGAAUUGGGGUUUGCGGAAUCUGAUCCGUGUGGGUUCGGAAUCGGUAUUUAUUUGGUAAUCUUAGAUUGUCUUUGUUUGAUUUAGGCUGUAUAGCAAUUAGACCACUACCCUUAGUCUGGAUCGGUAAUACUCAGAUGUUUGAUAGAAUCCAAUCUAGCAAGGGCAGUUCAUCUCUCCCAAAGUCUCCCAAAUGCCAAGGGGCCGCCUAAAAUUUGAGGUUAAUGAUAGGGUUAUUACAUUUGCUUUUCAUAGAGUUUCACACCAAAGUUCUAGAAGUAAGGUAAUUGAAAAUAAGAAACUUCUCCUCUCACAUACUCACAUACUCCGACUUAACAUGAACAAGGGUAUUCUGGUGAAAAUCAUUAAGGCCACUGCCAAAUGCUUUAGUUCAAAGAUGCAGUGAGUUACCGGCAUGAUAUUUAUUUCUGUUGCAGACGAUGGGUGUUGGAAAGGAAAUUAGCUUCGUCAGAUGUGCCAAAGGAGGUACAAGUCAACCUGAUUAAAGACUUGGAGCGAAAAGAGACAGAAUUUAUGCGACUUAAAAGGCACAAGAUAUGUGUUGAUGAUUUUGAGCCUUUGACCAUCAUUGGUAGGGGGGCCUUUGGUGAGGUCUGUAUUAAACAUAGUAUUCUAACGAACGUAUUAAAAUUUUCAUUGACCAUUGGACUCGCGUUAGCUUGAAGUUCCAUUUUAUGCUUUAGAUGUGGUUGCUAAUUGCAGUAUACCUUUCCUAAUUCACUCUCAAACUACAGGUCCGAUUGUGUCGGGAGAAAAAAUCUGGCAAUAUCUACGCCAUGAAAAAGUUGAAGAAAUCUGAAAUGCUGAAGAGAGGACAGGUAAUAUCACAUAUGCAACUUUGUUCCAAACCCACCACUGGAACUCAUUCCUAGAUUUUCAUCAUUGAAACUUUGCUGUUGAUAUAUUUUUCGUUUUGCCUUAUAGGUGGAACAUGUUAGAGCUGAAAGAAACUUGCUGGCAGAAGUUGCCAGCCAUUGCAUAGUUAAACUUUACUACUCCUUCCAGGACGAUGAGUACUUAUAUUUAAUAAUGGAAUAUCUGCCUGGGGGUGACAUGAUGACUCUGCUGAUUAGGGAAGACACCUUGACUGAAAGUGUGGCUAAAUUUUACAUUGCACAGAGCGUACUGGCCAUAGAAUCUAUUCAGAAACACAACUACAUACACAGGUUGAAGAAUUCUACUAAUAUCAUUUUAUUAAAUUUUUAUUUUGUUACCAGAAUACUUGUUAGGUGAUGAAUUAAGUAUGCAAUCUUGUCUCACCACUUCAUUUUCGCUGCCUCUGCAGAGACAUUAAGCCAGACAACCUGCUUCUGGAUAAAAAUGGUCACAUGAAACUCUCGGAUUUUGGCCUCUGUAAGCCUCUUGAUUGUACAACUUUACCUUCACUGCAUGAAAAUAGAACUAUGGAUGAUGAAAAUAUGACAGAACCAAUGGAUAUCGACACAUGCGUUCCUGAUGCGGAUAAUCGGAGUAGUUGGAAAAGCCCCGCCGAACAGCUGCAACAUUGGCAGAUGAACAGGAGGAAGUUGGUAUGUUAGCAUCUUUACAGACUGGUUUUUGCGGUAUAUCUUUAGCCUUAACCCGUAGACAUUUGCCCCUCACUCUAUUGUUUUUUGUUUCUUCGUUUUCUGAAAGGCAUUUUCAACUGUGGGGACACCCGACUAUAUUGCACCUGAAGUGUUAUUGAAGAAAGGAUAUGGAAUGGAAUGCGACUGGUAAGUUUAUACUGCUAAUUUAUUUUUAUUCUCUCUUGCAUUCUCUCAUCUUUGUGUUUAUGAUAUGUAUUGUUUGGUUUAGGUGGUCAUUGGGAGCAAUAAUGUAUGAAAUGCUUGUUGGUUACCCUCCAUUUUAUUCAGAUGAUCCAAUAACUACAUGCAGAAAGGUAAAAUGCUUAACGCUCAUGUAAAUCUGAGUGCAAAGUUUUUGUGGUGAGUCAUAGGUUUGAACUAAGGUCACUUCAGUUUCACAUACAAAAUUACUCACUGUAUUUGUCAAUUUACGUCAGAUUGUUCAUUGGAAAAACCACUUAAAAUUUCCAGAAGAUGCAAGGUUGACAGCUGAGGCUAAGGAUCUUAUUUGCAGGUUGCUGUGUGAUGUUGAACAUAGGCUAGGGACUGGAGGGGCACAUCAAAUCAAAGUAAAGCUCUCCUAUUUGAAUAAAUUGUUGUCUUUAUCCUCUAAUCAGAUUUUUUUUCUUUCUUAAAUUUCUAAAAACUAUGUUGUAUUGUAUCAGUCUCAUCCUUGGUUCAAGGAUGUUGUGUGGGACAAACUCUAUGAAAUGGACGCAGCAUUCAAACCAGAAGUGAAUGGAGAGCUUGAUACCCAAAACUUUAUGAAGUUUGAUGAGGUAUUUUACAAGAUCAUCCUUUUAUUUCUUGUAUCAUUGUUUAUCAUCUUCUGCACCGACAUCUACUAAUAUCAGUGCUAUAAUUAACAGUUCCAUUUAUCUAUACCUUUUAGCUUCUGUACUUUUGCACUACCAAACCUAUUGAAAUACUGACUUCCGUACAUCUUUGCAUUUGUGCUUAGUUGGACCCACCAGCGUCAGCAAGAACUGGAUCUUCACGAAAGGUUUGUAACUGUAGAUGCUGUCUAUAUACUGAUGAUAUGCAAUACAUAUUUUAUAAGACAUGAUAUGUAAUACUUUACACAAUCAAUUGGCAUUAUGCUCAUCUUUUCCCUGAAGAGAAAACCCAAGCUCAAUACUGGGUUCCCUUUGUUAAAAAGGCGCCAGAGCCAAGAGAACUGCCAUAGGAAAAAGAAAAGAUCAUAGUGUAGACCUUUUCAUCUAUGUUUGUCUUCAAGAUGACGUAAUGCCAAAUUACAAUUGUUGACUUUAGCCGGCCACCAUGAAAUCUGCAUUAGUGCUGUUUGAUGCCAAUAAUUCUGUUUUUAAUUUUCUCAAAAAGGGAAUUUUCUUGUAAAAAAUCAAUCUCAAUUGGCUUUUGCUUAUAUCUCAACUUGUGAAACAUUAUUUUCAGAACUCAGAAGGAAUCUGCAUUAUUAGGCAACGCCUCAUUGCCCUUUUGUUAUCAAUAGAGUUCUCAUGUCUAUUCUCUAGAGGAUCCACAAAAAUCUGCAAUAGCCUGUUCAUACGAACUCGUACCACAUGUUUAAGUAAUUUAUGAUUUAGUAUGAAUGUACAAUAUGUAUUCCUUAUCACCUUAUACUUUCAUGCAGUUGCAAAUGACUCCCAAAGAUUUAAGCUUUGUUGGCUAUACAUACAAGAACUUUGAUGCUGUGAAAGGGCUUCGUCAAGCUCUUGGUACGCAAUGUUACUCUAAUGUUGACUCUUGUUUCCAGAAUCGUAUAACUUAACUGGAAUUACCUGAUGUUAUUCUGUUAUGAACCUAAGCGGAUUAAAGCUUAUAUAUUCGCCAAUAUAUGCAGGUGAUGCUAGGGUAGAUUUUACUGCUGAACGGGCAGCCAAGGAAGCCGAGUUACAGAUGCUUGCAUCAGCCGGUGAUCCCAUGUUACCAUAACACCAAAUCCCUGGGGACAAAAGGUGACAAGAUAUAUACUCAUGUCCUUAAUUCGGGUUCAUAUUCAAAGAAACUUGGCAUAUCUUUCAAAUUGGCUGCCGUGUAGUUUGCAAUAUAAACAUUUUAAGUGUACAGUAACUGUAACUAUUGAAGAACUUCAUAAAAGCCCCGAAAAAGAGGCGAGUGAGAGACUUCAGUAAUUAGGUCUUGUGAAUUAGAAUUUUAGAAUUAAUGUAGCCUGAGAAUUCUGGGAACCGGUUGUCCUGACUGCCCAGGUUGGCAGUAUUGUGCAAUGCCUUCUCUAGUGGCAGUUUCUGGUGAAAGUACCAAGUAUUCAUGGCCAAAUUACCAAGAAACUCAGUAGCCAUUUGACAAGUAACUUUUCUCUCUGUUGUGUUUGUUUAAGGCUUUUAAGGGAUGGACUUGAAUAUGAAAUGAAAUAUUUGUGUAAAUAUAUUGCUUCAAUUUUCAUACCUCCAUGUUAUAUAUGGGGGUAAGGCUAGCCGACAUUCACCUCUCACAGA
rnacentral:lncRNA from 1 species